rnacentral:rRNA from 1 species
AUAAUCAUUUGUUUUAUAAUUAAAAACUAGUAUGAAAGGACUGACGAAAAGACAACUGUCUCUACUGUGGUAUUGAAAUUUAAAUAGAAGUCAAAAUGCUUCUUUAAUUUAGAGGGACGACAAGACCCUAUAAAACUUUACCUUUAUCUAUAAAACUUUAUUAAAUAAAAGGUUUGACUGGGGCGGUCAAAAUAAAAUAAUCUCUAUUUUUAAACUGACACACUAAGUGAAAUUAACAAACAAAAAUAUAAAACAAAUAGUUACUUUAGGGAUAACAGCGUAAUAUUUCUUUAGAGUCCUUAUCGUCAGAAAUGAUUUCGACCUCGAUGUUGAAUUGAGACUCAAAACAAAGCAAGCCUUGUUUAAGUAAGUCUGUUCGACUUAUA